GACGAACCGUGCGAACGGUUGUUCGGAUUCACUGGGCUUAAAGGGCGCGUAGGCGGACGGUCAAGUCGGGGGGUGAAAAUCUUUCAGCUUUAACUGGAAAAAGUGGCCUCCGAUACUGAUCGUCUCGAGGGAGGUAGGGGCAUGUGGAACUUCCGGUGGAGCGGUGAAAUGCGUUAGAUAUCGGGAAGGGAACGUCGGGUGGCGAAAAGCGACGUGCUGGACCUCUUCUGACGCUGAGGCGCGAAAGCCGGGGGAGCAAGCGGGG
rnacentral:rRNA from 1 species